GCCUCCCCCGCCCCCGCCGGGGCCCCUUGCUCCGGCGACUCCGGCUCGGUCUCCCAAAGUGCUGAGAUUACAGGCAUGAGUCACUGAGACUGGCCUCAUUCCCUGUUUAAAAAUGAGGAAAGCCAGGUGCAGGGUUGUGUGCCUGUAAUCACAGCUACUCAGGAGGCUGAGCGGGAAGGAUCACUUGAGGCCAGGAGUUUGACUCUAUAUUGACGGAGCAAUAUACAGAGACUGUCUCUAAAAAAAAGGAAGGGUAGGGGGUUGAGGACUGAGGCACAGAGAAGUUGAAGAAUUUUCCCAAUUCACUUAGCUGGUGCAUGACACAGCCAGUAUGAUCUAAUGCUAGAAAACAACCACUGCAAUGCGGCCUCCUGAGACAGAACUUUCAUCAUGCAGCUGCUGUCACCCUGUCCAGCCAAUCCCUUAACAUGGCAUCAGGAGCCCUGAGUUCAGGUUCUGGCUCUGCUGAUGGCUGGCUGUGUAACCUUCGUCAAGUCCCAUAUCUUCUCUGGGCUUCAAGAACCCAAGAACCUCAAGAACAUUUGACUAGCCCGAACAUUCCCUGGGCCUGGGUCCUAUUCCUCCUCCU
rnacentral:lncRNA from 1 species